GGUGUGGAAAAAAAAGAAAGAAGAAGGGCUAUGGCGAUAUCGACGCUCCUCUCCCGGACGAAAAGAAAAGCGGAAAAGCACAGAGAGAAACAAGAGAGACAAGUCAGGACAACAGAAACCGGAGAGAACUGAUCGGAGCAGAGAGGAGAGAUGAGGAGAUGGAUGGAGCAGUGGAGAGGUAGGAGAUGAGCGCCUUAAGGUGCGGCUGCACCCCCUGCUUCUAAUAUCAUUUUCUCCAAAAUUGCAUAAGCUCCUUAAAAUGACUGACAAGAUCUCUUCAUCUAUAUAUCUCUCUAUCUCCCGGUCUAUCUCUCUGUUUAUUUAUUCAUGUGAGAUGAGUCCCCGGAGCUGAGUUUAGUGGCGGCGUGGCGCAGCGCCACGCGCUCUUGUUGUCCAUACAGCUGACACCCAUGGGAGAAAAGGGAGUCCGACCUGAAACCUGACAGUGUUCGGCCCUCACCGGAAGCCUCACCUCUGGUUUCCUCUUGCAACAGUUGUCUCCCUUUGAUACAAUCCCCUCCACUCCACGGAGCCAGCUGGUAAUUAAGGACCCUUCAAACUCCACUGUGAAUGCUGGGAAUGUCUCCUGUGCUGAGAAUUUAGAGUUUGAUGUGUCGCCCCCUUCUGGUCACAAAUGUAACUGCAGUGCAUUCAGGAGACAGAGGUACUGCAGCUCAGCACCUUCUGACUGCCCAGCUGUGGAAAUCCAGAGAAGAGAAAAGAGGAGGUGAUGCAAAAUGCUGGUAUGCCCAUCUGAGUCGCCUUCAGCUAUUGUAGUGCAUUGGUGGACUUCGUUUUGCCCUGGGUUUCCCCUGUCAGGCUUCGCACAGGCCACUGCCCGACCCUCUGAUAGACAUGGGAUGUUCCUGUAGACACUAAUCAGGGCUGGAAAUUAUAUAUUUUUUUCUGGAAUA